rnacentral:tRNA from 1 species
GGGGAUAUAGCUCAGUUGGUAGAGUGCUUGCCUUGAGUGCACAGGCCCUGGGUUCAAUCCCCCAGCACCCCUC